GACGAACGCUGGCGGCGUGCUUAACACAUGCAAGUCGAACGGAAAGGCCCUGCUUUUGUGGGGUGCUCGAGUGGCGAACGGGUGAGUAACACGUGAGUAACCUGCCCUUGACUUUGGGAUAACUUCAGGAAACUGGGGCUAAUACCGGAUAGGAGCUCCUGCUGCAUGGUGGGGGUUGGAAAGUUUCGGCGGUCGGGGAUGGACUCGCGGCUUAUCAGCUUGUUGGUGGGGUAGUGGCUUACCAAGGCUUUGACGGGUAGCCGGCCUGAGAGGGUGACCGGCCACAUUGGGACUGAGAUACGGCCCAGACUCGUACGGGAGGCAGCAGUGGGGAAUAUUGCACAAUGGGCGGAAGCCGGAUGCAGCAACGCCGCGUGCGGGAUGACGGCCUUCGGGUUGUAAACCGCUUUCGCCUGUGACGAAGCGUGAGUGACGGUAAUGGGUAAAGAAGCACCGGCUAACUACGUG
rnacentral:rRNA from 1 species